GGGGCAGGGGAGGGAAGCGGCAGAGGAGGGCGGCAGGGAGCAGAGGAGAGACCUCACUCUGGACAGAAGGAAGAACAGCAGCCAAGGGCCCGGCAGAGACGAGGGCGAGGGAUGGCAGAGUCCAAGACGGAGACCUCUCCAGGGCCCAGAGCUGCUGUCAACGCCCCUAUUGCCCUGUCACACCUCCCCCUGAGGGCCAGCUGAGCUUCUCUGUGCUUGGGGACAUGGCCAAGGUCCUUACCACUGUUCCUUGGAAACUGGGAGGGCCGAUCCCAGCUCUUCACACUUUCACCAUCUCAAAACCUGCUCGGGGUACCCUGGUGGGUCGGCGAGGGCCCUGCCCCGGGGAGCUGGUCAGCCGGUGGGUGGGGGCAGAGAAAAGGACGUCACAGCCUGGUGAGCAAAGCCUUUGACAAGAGAAACCCAAAGCCAGGCCAGGCCUGGAGGACCACAGGAAGGUCCUCCAGAGAAAGCAAAGUGUCAUGGACUGAGGUCCCUGGGAGUUCACCCACAAAGAAGCCGGAGAGCAGAACAGGUGGAAGGACAGACGGGGACGUGCGAGUCUCGGAGCCCAGCAAGGACACGGCAGCGCCCGGACACUAAGAGACAAUGGCCAAAGCUGAUUGCAGGCUGCACUGGUCAGGGUGGAGAGGCACUGAAGAGGGGGUGACAGCUGGGUGGUGGGUGGUGUCAUGGGAUGCUCCAAAGAGGCUUCUUGCUGUGGGACGAGAAGUUCAUCUUGUUUUUCUGUUGGCAGGACAGAGAGGGGACCCGCUGGCAUGACACAUCCUGAGAAGGACAUUACAGGAGCCAAAGAAGAGAGUGGGCAAGGCCAGUCCUGGGGAGAGCCAGAAGCUGGGUCUGUGGGACCAGAUGCAGGAUGGGUGUUGGGCUGGUCUGAAAAGCAGAGACCGGGGAGGCUGGGAUUUCUGGUCUGGACAACAGGAUGGAGGGCAGUGCUGUCCCAGGGACAGAGGCUCCUGAGAAAGGGAACGAGGUGGUUGGGCCUGGGUAGGAAAGGCCAAGUGAGUAGCAUAGAGAAGCUGGAUACGUGGGCCACAGUGGGCGCUGGCGAGAUGUGUCUGAAAAUGGCCAGGGAGAAAAUACCCGCAGCGUUCCAGGCCACAGAGUCUCUGUAAAUCCUGUCCUCUCUGCUGCGGCAGCUGGAAAUGGCCACAGGUGGUGUGGAGCCCUGCUGCAGCUGGGCCUCACGAGCCCCAUCGACAGAGGGAGCUGGACUUGGCUCUCGGGGCAGAGCGUGCAGACCCUGGUCUGGACCAGCAGGGAGAUGUCUGGAUGGGAGGUGAGAAUCCAGGGAGAGAUGACUUGAGGUUGUGAGUGUGGGUGAGAACCGGAAGCUGGCCCUGGGGGCCGAGGGCAGAGCCUAUGGCAGGAGGUAUAGACUAUACAGAGAGAUGCAGAUAUUGACUUAGACCUUUGCAUUCAGGCCUGUGCCUGUGUCUAUACAGAUAUAGAUUUAGAGAAGAGAUUUCUUUUAAGGGAUCAUAUGAUUAAUGCUCAUGUGACGUAGGAACUGGCUGGUCUGAACCUGCAGGGCAGGUGGGCAGGUGGGAGGCUAAGGCACACGGAGAGGCUGCCUUCUCUGGGUAGCACUUCCUCUUCCCUGGGAAUCCUGUGUUUGCACACAGGCCUUCAGCAGCUUGGAUGAGGUCCACCCACGUUACAAGGGUAAUCCACUUGACGUAAAGUCAACUGGCUGCUGAUGUUAACCCCCUAGAUUAGGGUGUGAUUAAUUAGCCCAGCCAAGCUGACACCCCAAAGCAACUGCCACCGGGAUCAUCUCAGAAUCCCUCCUUCUCCGCUGAAGUCAGCCAGUUGGAUCGUGCUCACAACACAGGUGGCAGAGUGGUCAGCCAAGCCCCCUGGGUCAUGGUACGGCUGCCUCUCUGAACCCAGGAGCUACCAGUGACCACUCCAGUGUCACCUUUGAAGGCUCAAUCUGUCUCUGCAAAAGAAGAAAAAGUCACUCUUUGCCUGGGAAGCCCCAUGAAAUACUUCUUAAGAAGGGCCUUCACCCAGCCCCCCCCAUCCCUAGGGGAGGGGUUCAGAAGGCUGAGAGAGGAGCUGACAGGCCUCCUGUCCUGUCCUCAUAUGAACCCCAGUCACGAGUCCCUGGGUAGCAGCAGCAGAGGGGCCCUAGCUCCCGCAAUUCUGGGGGGGGCGGGGAAUCAUUUGCCAAGCCUAAUAGUGGCACCAUACAUGUGUAUACAUUUUACACAAAGCCUGUUUACUCUGAAAAAUCAAUUUCACUCCUACAGAUGGCAUAUUGCAAAAAGCAACGCAAACCCAGCAGCACCCCGCCAGCAACAAAGCUGAGCGCUUAUCCCCACGUUGCUGAGACAGGUCACGUGGGAAGACGUGCACACUUGAGGCAUCCAAUCAUUGCUGUGCCAGAAGAGCAGGAGCUUCCUAGGCAGAACUUCUAUCUUGGUCUCCUAUUCAAGUCAUGUGGAGUGAGAAGACAGCCUGCAAGGGCCACCCAGAAAGGAGGGGACCCCAACACCAGGCCAAACAAGAGCAGGAUGGGCCUGAGGUAUCUGGGUGAUAAUUAGGAAAGUGCUGGGAUAUUGGUGCCUGAAAGGUGGGUGUGUCGGUCAGCUUUCCAUCUCUGUCACAAACACCUGAGAGCAGCAGCUAAUGAAGAGAAAAGGUUGUUCUUGCUCACAGUGUUGGAGGUUCCAAUCCAUGGCCAAUUGCCUCCUUCUUUGGGCCUGUGUGGAACAGCAAAUCAUGGUAGGAGGGUGUGGCAGAGCUAAGCCUCCCACCUCUUGGCUGGAAAGCAAAAGGGGAAGGAGGAAGGGGCUAGGGUCCCUCUAUCUCCUCCAAGAACAUCAGUGACCUGAAGACCUCCCACGGAACCCCACCUGCUAAAAGUUCCACCACCUCCCUUAACACUUGGGCCUUUGAGAACAUUCAAGAUCCGAACCAUAGCAGCUGGUCAUGGGGGCUGCUCAGUCUGCUCAGCCACAGAGAAGGUCAGGACCUGAUGACUCCCGUAUAGAAGGCCUGCAGCAUAGAUUUGCUGCCUUCUAGAGAGGGCGAGCGGCCUUGCCUCUGCCAUGUCUGUGACAGGGCUGAGUCUGUCUGUCCAGGAAGACAGGGAUGCAGAGAAAUACUGGGCAUAUGCCCCUUUUAUGUAAAUCGCAUCGUAGCGUCAAAGUAGACAUGAUUGUCACUGUGACUCAUGUUCUGGGCCUCACCUUAGACUUCAGCCUCUGAUGUGAACAUUGCCCAGGGGCUGGGGCUCACCUGGUGCUAACACCGUGCCCAGGCUCUCCUCCCCGUGGAGGGGCACACCCCUGCAGGAAUGUUCUCUAGCCUCCAAGUUCAAUCACAGCAGACACAGAGGAGGGUGAGCAGCCCAGGGCACCCCCAAGGAAGGAGGGGAGGUGGGAGCCGAGGGCCCCUGUCCUUCCUGCUGGCAAUUUCAGGAAGCACCCUGUGGUUCUCAGCUGGCACUGGAGGGACGGCACAGAACUGCCCGCUGCAGCGACCUCAGUAACAGGUCCACGUUGACAUUGCUUUCUUUCCUGUUCCCUCUCUCCAGCCUCCUGAGGCCACCUGACAAAUAACCAUCCAGGUACAAGUCCCUUUGCAACCCUUUCUCCUUUCAGGGACUCCAGCUGGACACUGUCUCUGGAACAGUGAUGUCCUCUCACUCCAGGC
rnacentral:lncRNA from 1 species